rnacentral:lncRNA from 1 species
ACAUUGAUUUCAACUUUUAAGAACUGUGAACUUUCUGCUCUUUUGUAAGCAACAGAGAGGGCAGUCACCUUGUGGACACUCACAGGAGUUACAGAGGAGAAUUACAGUGGAGAUGCCACGAAACACUGCUGUUGAAGGAGAAGUAAUAGUAAAAAUAUAUGUGGAUGCAACCUAAAGAAAGCAGACUUUUGGACUGCUUCCAUUCAG